AAUGAACGCUGGCAGUGUGUUUUAGGCAUGCAAGUCGAACGGCAGCAUGAUAGAGCUUGCUCUAUUGAUGGCGAGUGGCGGACGGGUGAGUAACGCGUAGGAAUCUGCCCAUAGGACUGGGAUAGCCAAGGGAAACUUUGGGUAAUACCGGAUGAUAUCGAGAGAUCAAAGGGGCGUUUGCCUUACCUAUGGAUGAGCCUGCGUACCAUCAGCUAGUUGGUUAGGUAAUGGCUGACCAAGGCUAAGACGGUUAGCCGGCUUGAGAGAGUGGCCGGCCACAAGGGCACUGAGACACGGAUCCUACUCCUACGGGAGGCAGCAGCCAAGAAUAUUCCGCAAUGGGGGAAACCCUGACGGAGCGACACUGCGUGAAUGAUGAAGGCCUUCGGGUUGUAAAGUUCUUUUAUAAGGGAAGAAUAAGUUAGAGAGGAAAUGCUUUAAUGAUGACGGUACCUUAUGAAUAAGUCCCGGCUAAUUACGUACCAGCAGCCGCGGUAAUACGUAAGGGACGAGCGUUAUUCGGAAUUACUGGGCGUAAAGGGCGUGUAGGCGGUUAAUUAGGCUGAGUGUUAAAGACUGGGGCUCAACUUCAGAAGGGCAUUCAGAACCGGUUAACUAGAAUCUGGUGGAAGGCAACGGAAUUUCCCGU
rnacentral:rRNA from 1 species